AUUGAACGCUGGCGGCAGGCCUACCACAUGCAAGUCGAACGAGUGGCGGACGUGUGAUUAAUGUCUGGGAAACUGCCCGAUGGAGGGGGAUACCUCCUGGAAACGGUAGCUAAUACCGCAUACCAUCGGAUGUGCCCAGAUGGGAUUAGCUAGUGGGUGGGGUAACGGCUCACCUAGGCGACGAUCCCUAUCUGGUCUGAGAGGAUGACCAGCCACACUGGAACUGAGACACGGUCCAGACUACUACGGGAGGAAGCAGUGGGGAAUAUUGCACAAUGGGCGCAAGCCUGAUGCAGUCAUGCCGAGUGUAGGAAGAAGGCCUUCGGGUGGUAAAGGACUUUCAGCGAGGAGGCGUUACUCGCAGAAGAAGCACCGGCUAACUCCGUGCCAGCAGCCGCGGUAAUUC
rnacentral:rRNA from 1 species